CAUCAGGAAUUUUACCCUUGGCGGUGGUCUGUCAGCAUAUGAACAAUUUGGACACCAAUGGUUUCAGUGUACUCUGGCAAAAAUCCGAGAUGAAUUUCCAAAUGAAUUAGAAUGCGGAUACACAGUGCGGGAUGUGUUCCAAACUGUUUCGAUAUUUUUCAUAUCGGGCAAUGACUACCUUGCACCGACGUUAAGAGCAAGUGACCUGGCUGUGUUUGAGAAUGUUUAACGUAGGCGAGUGCCACACAAGAAAAGACUAGACAUAUUUCAGAAAUGGUACAGACAUUCACCCAGUUAACAUACUUUGCGAUAUUUGUACUUGAAAUGUUUUAAAAUUACGCGAUAUGUAAUAAAUGAUAAUAUUCA
rnacentral:lncRNA from 1 species